GACGAACGCUGGCGGCGUGCUUAACACAUGCAAGUCGAACGGAAAGGCCCUGCUUUUGUUGGGUGCUCGAGUGGCGAACGGGUGAGUAACACGUGAGUAACCUGCCCUUGACUUUGGGAUAACUUCAGGAAACUGGGGCUAAUACCGGAUAGGAGCUCCUGCUGCAUGGUGGGGGUUGGAAAGUUUUGGCGGGUGGGGAUGGAGUCGCGGCUUAUCAGCUUUUUGGUGGGGUAGUGGCUUACCCAGGCUUUGACGGGUAUCCGGCCUGAGAGGGUGACCGGCCAAAUUGCGAACGGGAUACGGCCCAGACGCAUCCGGGAGGAAGGAGUGGAGAAUAUUGCACAAAGGGCGGGAGCCGGAAGCAGCAACGCCGCGUGCGAGAUGACGGCCUUCGGGUUGUAAACCGCUUUCGCCUGAGACGAAGCGUGAGGGACGGAAAUGAGUAGAGAAGCACCGGCUAACUACGU
rnacentral:rRNA from 1 species